GGAAUUUUGGACAAUGGGGGCAACCCUGAUCCAGCCAUGCCGCGUGAGUGAAGAAGGCCUUCGGGUUGUAAAGCUCUUUCGGUGGGACCGAAAUGGCCCGUGCCAAUACCGCGGGUCGAUGACCGUACUCACAGAAGAAGCACCGGCUCACUACGUGCCAGCCGCCGCGGUACUACGUAGGGUGCGAGCGUUAAUCGGAAUUACUGGGCGUAAAGCGUGCGUAGGCGGUCACAUAAGCUUGAUGUGAAAGCCCCGGGCUUAACCUGGGAAUGGCAUUGAGGACUGUGUGGCUUGAGUGCGGCAGAGGGAGGUGGAAUUCCACGUGUAGCAGUGAAAUGCGUAGAGAUGAGGAGGAACACCGAUGGCGAAGGCAGCCUCCUGGGCCGACACUGACGCUGAGGGCACGAAAGCGUGGGGAGCAAA
rnacentral:rRNA from 1 species